GUGACAAAUUAUUAUUUUACUGACUGACUGCUCAUUGCAAAGGUUUUGUUGGGUCCUCGCUGGCGGGCUAGCCCGCCGAGGAAACGGUUGGUACUCAUAAACAGGGUGGUCCCGAGCGAGUCGGGGCCCCGGUGGACCGUCAACCACCCGUGCCGGGACGAAUCCCGUUCGGAUGGCGGCUGUCCCCCGGGCGUUUCGUAAUGAUCCUUCCGCAGGUUCACCUACGGAAA
rnacentral:misc_RNA from 1 species